GACGUAGGGUCCAAGCGUUGUCCGGAUUUAUUGGGCGUAAAGAGCUCGUAGGCGGCUUGUCACGUCGGGUGUGAAAGCCCGGGGCUUAACCCCGGGUCUGCAUUCGAUACGGGCUAGCUAGAGUGUGGUAGGGGAGAUCGGAAUUCCUGGUGUAGCGGUGAAAUGCGCAGAUAUCAGGAGGAACACCGGUGGCGAAGGCGGAUCUCUGGGCCAUUACUGACGCUGGAGGAGCGAAAGCGUGGGGAGCGAACAGG
rnacentral:rRNA from 1 species